rnacentral:rRNA from 1 species
UGAGGAAUAUUGGUCAAUGGGCGAGAGCCUGAACCAGCCAAGUAGCGUGCAGGAUGACGGCCCUAUGGGUUGUAAACUGCUUUUAUAUGGGAAUAAAGUGAGGGACGUGUCCCUUAUUGCAUGUACCAUACGAAUAAGGACCGGCUAAUUCCGUGCCAGCAGCCGCGGUAAUACGGAAGGUCCGGGCGUUAUCCGGAUUUAUUGGGUUUAAAGGGAGCGUAGGCCGCGUUUUAAGCGUGUUGUGAAAUGUAGACGCCCAACGUCUGCAUCGCAGCGCGAACUGGGACGCUUGAGUACGCGCAACGUUGGCGGAAUUCGUCGUGUAGCGGUGAAAUGCUUAGAUAUGACGAGGAACUCCGAUUGCGAAGGCAGCUGACGGGAGCGGCACUGACGCUUAAGCUCGAAGGUGCGGGUAUCAAACAGG